rnacentral:rRNA from 1 species
UACGGAGGGCGCGAGCGUUAAUCGGAAUCACUGGGCGUAAAGCGCGCGUAGGCGGCUUUUCAAGUCAGGGGUGAAAUCCCACGGCCCAACCGUGGAACUGCCUUUGAAACUGUAGAGCUUGAGUGUCGGAGAGGGUGGCGGAAUUCCAGGUGUAGGAGUGAAAUCCGUAGAUAUCUGGAGGAACACCGGUGGCGAAGGCGGCCACCUGGACGACAACUGACGCUGAGGUGCGAAAGCGUGGGUAGCAAACAGG